rnacentral:lncRNA from 1 species
UGGGGACCACCACAUCCCAUAUCCUAUUGCACUAAUUUAUUAGCGGACAAGGCGAGAUUGCUUUAUUGUUCUAUUGCAAUUGUGCAAGAUUGAAAUCCGUAACACAUAUUGCAUUCAACCAAUCUCUUUCAAGGGUGAGGUUUGUAUAGAGCCUACCUUCAAAUAGUAUCAACAAAUAUGGUUUCAAUACUAGAAAUUUUUGUUAUAGCGUUAAAAUAUAUUUUUAUCUUUAUUACGAAGUUUAAAGGUUAAAAAAUAGUGUAGAUCGACAUAUUUAUGAAAACUUGAAAAUUUUGAAAAUUGACGGUCCAAAAAUGCGUCACAAAAUAUACUAUUUUCAAAACUUGAAAUCCAUUUUUUUCUCAUGGCCAUGCAUCUUGAUGUUAAGAUGAUCAAUUUGAGAAUACUAGGGUAUCAAUAUAACCUCUUCUAGUGAAAUUUUGAGAUGGGCUCUAAUUUGAUGGUUUAGAGCCUCUGCUUUAUAUAAACUUUUCUCUUCAAGAAUACAUGUUUAUCUCUCUAUCAUCAUCAUCAUCUUUAAUGAACCAAUCUCUUUUGAUAAGGGAAAAAGUUUAUAUAAGGUUGCAACCUUAAAAUGUAGAAAUACAGAUGCAACUCAAAAAUCCAUCGGAAAAGAUUGUUUUAAUGUUGAAAAAUCCUGUGAUUGAUCAUCUCAACAUUGAGAUGUAUGACUAUGAAAAAUAAAAUAUUUUGAAUCUCAAAAAUAAUGCAUCUUGCAACAUAUUAUCUACACCGUCUAUUUUCAAGAUUUUCAUAUGUUUAUAGAUCAACUUAAUUUUAACCUUUUUUAGAAUUUAAAAUUUUAUAAUUAGAUAUAAAAAUAGAUUUUGAGAUAAUCCUAAGAACAUUUUACAUCAAAAUUAUAUAAUAUGAUAAAAUUUGAAGGUGCACCUUAGUUGGAUUGUUUAAGGUUACAACCUUAUGGAAACCAUACCCACAUGAGUAUCUCUCUAUUAUUAUCAUCAUCAUCCAACCUUUUAUCAACUAAUUGGGAUCGACUAUACGAAUCGUGGUUAGCUCCAUCAAGAGAGGUAAAAUACUUUAUUUUGGAGAUUGUGUCCAAUCAAUGACAUCUCUCCACCCCUCAAAUUUCACAUCUAAUGGUCAAUAAUAUGUUAACAAAUUUGACAUUAUAGAAUCUCAUUAUAUUUUCGCAAGUUCUUCAAAAUGAAAAUUAUCCUUAGGACUUGGGAUCAUGAAAACAAAUAGAAAUAUUCCUACUAUAUUUGCUUUUUGAUAAGGGAAAGAUUUCUAUACUUGCCCUACAUAAAAAAAAAUUUCCCUCCCAUCCAGCCAUCAAAUUUAGAUAAAGUGAGCCACACACUGCUCGAUCUAAAUCCGACGCCACAAAAUAUUUUAUUUCAGUUUUUUUUCCACUAAUUGUAUGAAUAUGAAAUUUGGUACGUAUUAUCUUCUCAAUGGCGAACACCUAUGAAAAAUAUUUAAAAAAAUAUUUCGAUAAAAUAGAAGGACCAAAAUAUCGCUUGAAAUUGUCAGGGCAUUU